UCUAAUAGAAAUUCUACUUAACCUAAGCAGUACAAUGAUUUUCAUCAUUAAAACUUAAAAAUUAUGGCGGCAGCUUAAACACUCAGGGGAACUUACCAUAUAAUUGAUAACCAACAAGAGGCCUUCACCUGCUCUUAUAACUAGUAUACCGCCGUCUUUAAACCUUCCUAAGGAGGGUUUAAAAUAUCACCCACCGCCCUUAGCAUGACAGGUCAUGGUGCUGUAAAUGAUCAGGAAUUUAAGGUGAGUUACAAUAUCUAAAACUAUUCGAAUUAUAUUCUUAAUUUUAUAUAUGAAGGAGGACUUGAUUGUAAAGAAAUAUUUUACUCUUAGCUAAAGCUUAACCUAUAGAACAAAUAAGACUUGAAAAGAAAUUAGGCUGUGC
rnacentral:rRNA from 1 species